GGGAGCUUGUGUGACAUUCGCUGCUAACGAACAUGUUGGGGUUGUGAUAGACCCGGUUCCUU
rnacentral:tRNA from 1 species